rnacentral:rRNA from 1 species
UACGGAGGGGGCAAGCGUUAUCCGGAUUCACUGGGUUUAAAGGGUGCGUAGGUGGGUUGAUAAGUCAGUGGUGAAAUCCCCGAGCUUAACUUGGGAACUGCCAUUGAUACUAUUGAUCUUGAAUACCGUGGAGGUCAGCGGAAUAUGUCAUGUAGCGGUGAAAUGCUUAGAUAUGACAUAGAACACCAAUUGCGAAGGCAGCUGGCUACGCGAAUAUUGACACUGAUGCACGAAAGCGUGGGGAUCAAACAGG